rnacentral:misc_RNA from 1 species
GAUGAAGAACGCAGCGAAAUGCGAUAAGUAGUGUGAAUUGCAGAAUUCAGUGAAUCAUCGAAUCUUUGAACGCACAUUGUGCCCCAUGGUAUUCCGUGGGGCAUGCCUGUUCGAGCGUCAUUUACCCCCUCAAGCUCCGCUUGGUGUUGGGCGUCUGUCCCGCUUCGCGCGCGGACUCGCCCCAAAGGUAUUGGCAGCGGUCGUGCCAGCUUCUCGCGCAGCACAUUGCGCUUCUCGAGGCACCGGUGGGCCCGCGUCCAUCAAGCUCACCCCCCCAGUUUGACCUCGGAUCAGGUAGGGAUACCCGCUGAACUUAAGCAUAUCAAUAAGCGGAGGA